rnacentral:rRNA from 1 species
GGACGGGACCCGCAACAAGCGGGUUCGGAGUGAUGUGGAUUAAUUCGAUGCAACGCGAAAAACCUUACCUACCCUUGACAUGUCCGGAAUCCCGAAGAGAUUUUGGGAGUGCUCGCAAGAGAGCCGGAACACAGGUGCUGCAUGGCUGUCGUCAGCUCGUGUCGUGAGAUGUUGGGUUAAGUCCCGCAACGAGCGCAACCCUUGUCAUUAGUUGCCAUCAUUUUGGUUUGGGCACUCUAAUGAGACUGCCGGUGACAAACCGGAGGAAGGUGGGGAUGACGUCAAGUCCUCAUGGCCCUUAUGGGUAGGGCUUCACACGUCAUACAAUGGUCGGUACAGAGGGUUGCCAACCCGCGAGGGGGAGCCAAUCCCACAAAGCCGGUCGUAGUCCGGAUCGCAGUCUGCAACUCGACUGCGUGAAGUCGGAAUCGCUAGUAAUCGUGGAUCAGCAUGUCACGGUGAAUACGUUCCCGGGUCUU